AUUGAACGCUGGCGGCAGGCCUAACACAUGCAAGUCGAGCGGAUGAAGUGAGCUUGCUCCUGGAUUCAGCGGCGGACGGGUGAGUAAUGCCUAGGAAUCUGCCUGGUAGUGGGGGAUAACGUCCGGAAACGGGCGCUAAUACCGCAUACGUCCUGAGGGAGAAAGUGGGUGAUCUUCGGACCUCACGCUAUCAGAUGAGCCUAGGUCGGAUUAGCUAGUUGGUGGGGUAAAGGCCUACCAAGGCGACGAUCCGUAACUGGUCUGAGAGGAUGAUCAGUCACACUGGAACUGAGACACGGUCCAGACUCCUACGGGAGGCAGCAGUGGGGAAUAUUGGACAAUGGGCGAAAGCCUGAUCCAGCCAUGCCGCGUGUGUGAAGAAGGUCUUCGGAUUGUAAAGCACGUUAAGUUGGGAGGAAGGGCAGUAAGUUAAUACCUUGCUGUUUUGACGUUACCAACAGAAUAAGCACCGGCUAACUUCGUG
rnacentral:rRNA from 1 species